AUUGAACGCUGGCGGCAGGCCUAACACAUGCAAGUCGAGCGAGUGGCGGACGGGUGAGUAAUGCCUCGGCAUCUGCCUGCUAGCGGGGGAUAACUACUGGGAACGGUCGCUGAUUACGCAUACUAUCGUAUGGACCCAUCUGGGAUGAGCGAGUGGGUGGGGUAACGGCUUACCAAGGCCACGAUCCCUAGCUGGUUGGAGAGGAUGACCAGCCACACUGGAACUGAGACACGGCCCAGACUCCUACGGGAGGCAGCAGUGGGGAAUAUUGCACAAUGGGCGCAAGCCUGAUGCAGCCAUGCAGCGUGUAUGAAGAAGGCCUUAGGGUUGUAAAGUACUUUCAGCGGGGAGGCGUUACCCGCAGAAGAAGCACCGGCUAACUACGUGCCAGCAGCCGCGGUAAUAC
rnacentral:rRNA from 1 species